rnacentral:misc_RNA from 1 species
UGCUGCUAGUGAGAGCUUUGGUGGG